rnacentral:other from 1 species
AGAACCCUGCGGUGUGCGUGAUGGCCAGCACUCCGGGGCGUGCCAACACUGUACGUUCGGGAGCACGGCGAAGCAGCGUGGAAGUGAUAGCCCGCCCUUCGGGGCCAGGGCAAGACGGAAGCGCUCAGCCGGCACCCACCUGCGAGCUCAGGUUCGCACCCACUGGUCCACACGGCACUGCGGGGUUUGC